rnacentral:tRNA from 1 species
AUUUUUUUAGUAUUAAUCAGUACAGCCGACUUCCAAUCGGCAGGCCUUGGAAAAACCCAAGAAAGAAUA